AACGCGAAGAACCUUACCUGGGCUCGAACGGCUUCUCAACGGUCGUGGAAACAUGGCUAUCCCGCAAGGGAGUGGAGUCGAGGUGCUGCAUGGCUGUCGUCAGCUCGUGUCGUGAGAUGUUGGGUUAAGUCCCGCAACGAGCGCAACCCUUGUCCUGUGUUGCUAAUCCGCAAGGAUGCACUCUCAGGAGACCGCCAGCGAUAAGUUGGAGGAAGGUGGGGAUGACGUCAAGUCAUCAUGGCCUUUAUGUCCAGGGCUACACACGUGCUACAAUGGACGGUACAAAGCGCGGCAAACCGGCGACGGGGAGCUAAUCGCCGAAAACCGUUCUCAGUUCGGAUUGCAGGCUGCAACUCGCCUGCAUGAAGCUGGAAUCGCUAGUAAUGGCAUAUCAGAACGAUGCCGUGAAUACGUUCCCGGGCCUUGUACACACCGGAGUA
rnacentral:rRNA from 1 species